CAUGCCCCUUGAGGCGUUGCAGUCUGACAUUGUGUCAAGCCUGUGUCAUAAGGUGGCAGAGAAUAAAAGGUCUACAUUCACAUCUGCAUUCAAAACCUCCAACAGUGGGGAUUUGGAGUGAUGUAGUUAACCAACAGA